rnacentral:rRNA from 3 species
GGGUUGUGAGGUUAAGCGACUAAGCGUACACGGUGGAUGCCCUGGCAGUCAGAGGCGAUGAAGGACGUGCUAAUCUGCGAUAAGCGCCGGUAAGGUGAUAUGAACCGUUAUAACCGGCGAUUUCCGAAUGGGGAAACCCAGUGUGAUUCGUCACACUAUCAUUAACUGAAUCCAUAGGUUAAUGAGGCGAACCGGGGGAACUGAAACAUCUAAGUACCCCGAGGAAAAGAAAUCAACCGAGAUUCCCCCAGUAGCGGCGAGCGAACGGGGAGGAGCCCAGAGCCUGAAUCAGCAUGUGUGUUAGUGGAAGCGUCUGGAAAGGCGCGCGAUACAGGGUGACAGCCCCGUACACAAAAGCGCAUGUGCUGUGAGCUCGAUGAGUAGGGCGGGACACGUGGUAUCCUGUCUGAAUAUGGGGGGACCAUCCUCCAAGGCUAAAUACUCCUGACUGACCGAUAGUGAACCAGUACCGUGAGGGAAAGGCGAAAAGAACCCCGGCGAGGGGAGUGAAAAAGAACCUGAAACCGUGUACGUACAAGCAGUGGGAGCACCCUUCGGGGUGUGACUGCGUACCUUUUGUAUAAUGGGUCAGCGACUUAUAUUCUGUAGCAAGGUUAACCGUAUAGGGGAGCCGGAGGGAAACCGAGUCUUAAUUGGGCGUUAAGUUGCAGGGUAUAGACCCGAAACCCGGUGAUCUAGCCAUGGGCAGGUUGAAGGUUGGGUAACACUAACUGGAGGACCGAACCGACUAAUGUUGAAAAAUUAGCGGAUGACCUGUGGCUGGGGGUGAAAGGCCAAUCAAACCGGGAGAUAGCUGGUUCUCCCCGAAAGCUAUUUAGGUAGCGCCUCGUGAAUUCAUCUCCGGGGGUAGAGCACUGUUUCGGCUAGGGGGCCAUCCCGGCUUACCAACCCGAUGCAAACUGCGAAUACCGGAGAAUGUUAUCACGGGAGACACACGGCGGGUGCUAACGUCCGUCGUGAAGAGGGAAACAACCCAGACCGCCAGCUAAGGUCCCAAAGUCAUGGUUAAGUGGGAAACGAUGUGGGAAGGCCCAGACAGCCAGGAUGUUGGCUUAGAAGCAGCCAUCAUUUAAAGAAAGCGUAAUAGCUCACUGGUCGAGUCGGCCUGCGCGGAAGAUGUAACGGGGCUAAACCAUGCACCGAAGCUGCGGCAGCGAACGUAUCACCCAAGACAACUUUACGGAGUUGGCGAUUGACGGAGCGAAGCGACGUCAAAGCGUUCAUUAAAGUCGAGUUGGCUUAGGGAUACGUUCGUUGGGUAGGGGAGCGUUCUGUAAGCCUGUGAAGGUGUGUCGUGAGGCAUGCUGGAGGUAUCAGAAGUGCGAAUGCUGACAUAAGUAACGAUAAAGCGGGUGAAAAGCCCGCUCGCCGGAAGACCAAGGGUUCCUGUCCAACGUUAAUCGGGGCAGGGUGAGUCGACCCCUAAGGCGAGGCCGAAAGGCGUAGUCGAUGGGAAACGGGUUAAUAUUCCCGUACUUGGUGUUACUGCGAAGGGGGGACGGAGAAGGCUAUGUUGGCCGGGCGACGGUUGUCCCGGUUUAAGCGUGUAGGUGUGUGUUCCAGGUAAAUCCGGUUCACUUUAACACUGAGGCGUGACGACGAGGCACUACGGUGCUGAAGCAACAAAUGCCCUGCUUCCAGGAAAAGCCUCUAAGCAUCAGGUAACACGAAAUCGUACCCCAAACCGACACAGGUGGUCAGGUAGAGAAUACCAAGGCGCUUGAGAGAACUCGGGUGAAGGAACUAGGCAAAAUGGUGCCGUAACUUCGGGAGAAGGCACGCUGACACGUAGGUGAAGUGAUUUACUCAUGGAGCUGAAGUCAGUCGAAGAUACCAGCUGGCUGCAACUGUUUAUUAAAAACACAGCACUGUGCAAACACGAAAGUGGACGUAUACGGUGUGACGCCUGCCCGGUGCCGGAAGGUUAAUUGAUGGGGUCAGCGUAAGCGAAGCUCCUGAUCGAAGCCCCGGUAAACGGCGGCCGUAACUAUAACGGUCCUAAGGUAGCGAAAUUCCUUGUCGGGUAAGUUCCGACCUGCACGAAUGGCGUAAUGAUGGCCAGGCUGUCUCCACCCGAGACUCAGUGAAAUUGAACUCGCUGUGAAGAUGCAGUGUACCCGCGGCAAGACGGAAAGACCCCGUGAACCUUUACUAUAGCUUGACACUGAACAUUGAGCCUUGAUGUGUAGGAUAGGUGGGAGGCUUUGAAGUGUGGACGCCAGUCUGCAUGGAGCCGACCUUGAAAUACCACCCUUUAAUGUUUGAUGUUCUAACGUGGACCCGUAAUCCGGGUUGCGGACAGUGUCUGGUGGGUAGUUUGACUGGGGCGGUCUCCUCCUAAAGAGUAACGGAGGAGCACGAAGGUUGGCUAAUCCUGGUCGGACAUCAGGAGGUUAGUGCAAUGGCAUAAGCCAGCUUGACUGCGAGCGUGACGGCGCGAGCAGGUGCGAAAGCAGGUCAUAGUGAUCCGGUGGUUCUGAAUGGAAGGGCCAUCGCUCAACGGAUAAAAGGUACUCCGGGGAUAACAGGCUGAUACCGCCCAAGAGUUCAUAUCGACGGCGGUGUUUGGCACCUCGAUGUCGGCUCAUCACAUCCUGGGGCUGAAGUAGGUCCCAAGGGUAUGGCUGUUCGCCAUUUAAAGUGGUACGCGAGCUGGGUUUAGAACGUCGUGAGACAGUUCGGUCCCUAUCUGCCGUGGGCGCUGGAGAACUGAGGGGGGCUGCUCCUAGUACGAGAGGACCGGAGUGGACGCAUCACUGGUGUUCGGGUUGUCAUGCCAAUGGCACUGCCCGGUAGCUAAAUGCGGAAGAGAUAAGUGCUGAAAGCAUCUAAGCACGAAACUUGCCCCGAGAUGAGUUCUCCCUGAGACUUAGAGUCUCCUGAAGGAACGUUGAAGACGACGACGUUGAUAGGCCGGGUGUGUAAGCGCAGCGAUGCGUUGAGCUAACCGGUACUAAUGAACCGUGAGGCUUAACCUUACAACGCCGAAG